CUGGCGGCGUGCCUAAUACAUGUCAAGUCGAACGGCUUUUCUAUGGAAGCUUGCUUCCACUGAGAAGAUAGUGGCGAACGGGUGAGUAACACGUGGGUAACCUGCCCAUAAGAGGGGGAUAACAUCCGGAAACGGGUGCUAAUACCGCAUAGUUUCUUGAUCGCAUGAUCGGGAAAGGAAAGACGGCCUUUGUGCUGUCGCUUAUGGAUGGACCCGCGGCGUAUUAGUUAGUUGGUGAGGUAACGGCUCACCAAGACGAUGAUACGUAGCCGACCUGAGAGGUGAUCGGCCACAUUGGACUGAGACACGGCCCAAACUCCUACGGGAGGCAGCAGUAGGGAAUCUUCCGCAAUGGACGAAAGUCUGACGGAGCAACGCCGCGUGAGUGAAAGAAGGUUUUCGGAUCGUAAAACUCUGUUGUCAGAGAAGAACAAGUUGGAGAGUAACUGCUCCAGCCUUGACGGUAUCUGACCAGAAAGCCACGGCUAACUACGUGCCAGCCGCCGC
rnacentral:rRNA from 1 species